AAAAAGAUAAGCUAAUAAAGCUAUUAGGUUCAUACCCUAAUUAUAGAAGUCACAAAUCUUCUUCUUUUUA
rnacentral:tRNA from 1 species